CAUAUGGAGGCCUUCUGAAAUUGCAUGGAUCAACUAAAUGAACCAAUGGCCGGAAAAAUAACUCCGAUUGGAUUAUACUGGGCAAGAUGGAGCCGAGCUUGAUGGAGGUGAAAGCCGCGAAACUAGUAUUCCCCCAGGACAACCCGCUUCUUUCCACAUUUCUGCUGCUAACAUUCGGGUGUUUCCAUAACCAUUGAUCCCUGCCUUACCUCAGGUUCAUUGCCUACAGUACACUUGGGUUCUAGGAGACUUCGGUGUUGGAGUGGCAGCUUGGGCUGUAGCAACUUGGCUCCUUGUGAUAUGUCCAGGGAUGCUAGUUGUGGCAGCUUGGCUCCUUGUGACAGGUCCAGGGCUGCCCUUGGUAGGUGUACAUGGAAUUGCAUUACUAACUGAAACAUCAAACCAUGGCGAUGGAUUCUUUUUGCCCCUACUUUACCUACAUGAAGAAAUAAUUAGAAUUAUAAACAUGCAAGGGAAAAAGUCAUAUCAUUAGAACAGUUUGACAAACUACACAAAG